rnacentral:SRP_RNA from 1 species
UGUUGGUUCUCCCGCAACGCUACUCUGUUUACGAGUCAGGUCCGGAAGGAAGCAGCCAAGGCAGAUGACGCGUGUGCCGGGAUGUAGCUGGCAGGG